CUGCCCCGGCUUCUAUCUCACUAAACAGUGAAUACAUCUGUUAACACAAAAAGGAGUACGACGAACAACUCUGCAGUCUUUUGUUGGCUUUGGAUGAUAUUGUCCAAGAACAUUUGUAAUUUUCUACCUACCGGUCUCCUCUUUAGAGCACCCAAUUUCAAUAUUUAGCUAAGUGCAAACAUGUGAAUGUAUGUCAAUAUUAUCAUCUAUGAGAAGCUCAAGAGAGACAGACACUCAGACAGAAGGUGGUUGAAUAAGAGAACCGACUCCGGUACAGAAAUUUAAUUAGAAAAUGCCAAAAUGUCAGUAACUCUUAUAAAAGCUUGUUAUGUAAUCUUAAAAGGUUCGGCAUAGUAUUUAUUAUCAUUAAUGAUUUUUCAAGUUCAGUCGGGUCACGCAGCUCGAGAGAUAUAAAGAAGAGUCAAAAAGAAAGGAGGGCGAAGGAGUCAUAAAAGUGAAGAUGGAUAGAUAGAUAGCAGUGAGCAUCAGAAAUAAUGCAGCAGAGAAAUGCAGAGAAAGUGAACAAGUGUAUAACGGCCUUCCUGGCCUUUCCCUGCAAUAAAAAUUAAAUGUUUUAAACAGACGUAACAGCUACAGCUUUUCCUCUACUCCUUUGUGUUUCUUUUCUUCUUCUACCCCAUGUCCCCAUUCCAUGUGACUCGCCCUUCACUUACCAUAAAGCUGAGCAUGCAUGCGUGAGAGAGAAGAUCCCAGUCACUUGUGAAUUGUGAUUCUAAAUUUUUAAUACUACUGUGUCAGCUGUAAUUAAAGCAUAUAAAAUUAAUGCUAAUUUUACUUAAUCCUUAUCAGAUAUACAGGAUUUUGCUCUAAAUCAGAAUUGUUUUUAUUUCUUCAA